CCUACGGGAGGCAGCAGUGAGGAAUAUUGGUCAAUGGUCGAGAGUCUGAACCAGCCAAGUAGCGUGAAGGAUGACUGCCCUAUGGGUUGUAAACUUCUUUUAUAUGGGAAUAAAAUGUUCCACGUGUGGGAUUUUGUAUGUACCAUAUGAAUAAGGAUCGGCUAACUCCGUGCCAGCAGCCGCGGUAAUCCGGAGGAUCCGAGCGUUAUCCGGAUUUAUUGGGUUUAAAGGGAGCGUAGGGGGAUUGUUAAGUCAGUUGUGAAAGUUUGCGGCUCAACCGUAAAAUUGCAGUUGAAACUGGCAGUCUUGAGUACAGGAGAGGUGGGCGGAAUUCGUGGUGUAGCGGUGAAAUGCUUAGAUAUCACGAAGAACUCCGAUUGCGAAGGCAGUUCACUGGACUGCAACUGACACUGAGGCUCGAAAGUGUGGGUAUCAAACAGGAUUAGAUACCCCAGUAGUC
rnacentral:rRNA from 1 species